rnacentral:rRNA from 1 species
GAUGAACGCUAGCUACAGGCUUAACACAUGCAAGUCGAGGGGAAACGGCAUUAAGUGCUUGCACUUUUUGGACGUCGACCGGCGCACGGGUGAGUAACGCGUAUCCAACCUUCCCAUGACUAAGGGAUAACCUGCCGAAAGGCAGACUAAUACCUUAUGGUCUUCACUGACGGCAUCAGAUGUGAAGUAAAGAUUUAUCGGUUAUGGAUGGGGAUGCGUCUGAUUAGCUUGUUGGCGGGGUAACGGCCCACCAAGGCAACGAUCAGUAGGGGUUCUGAGAGGAAGGUCCCCCACAUUGGAACUGAGACACGGUCCACACUCCUACGGGAGGCAGCAGUGAGGAAUAUUGGUCAAUGGGCGAGAGCCUGAACCAGCCAAGUAGCGUGCAGGAUGACGGCCCUAUGGGUUGUAAACUGCUUUUGUAUGGGGAUAAAGUCAAUCACGUGUGAUUGUUUGCAGGUACCAUACGAAUAAGGACCGGCUAAUUCCGUG